AAUGAACGUUGGCGGCAUGGAUUAGGCAUGCAAGUCGGGGGAAUCCCAGCAAUGGGGGAACCGGCGUAAGGGGCAGUAAGGCAUGGGUACCUACCUUGGGGUUCGGGAUAGCCAUCAGAGAUGGUGGGUAAUACCGGAUGACGUCGUGAGACCAAAGAUUUAUCGCCCUUAGAGGGGCCCAUGUGAUAUUAGCUAGUUGGUGGGGUAACGGCCCACCAAGGCGAAGAUGUCUAGCGGGUGUGAGAGCACGACCCGCGCCACUCGCACUGAGACACUGGCGAGACACCUACGGGUGGCUGCAGUCGAGGACCUUCGGCCAUGAGCGCAAGCUUGACCGAGCGAUGCUGCGUGAGCGAUGAAGGCCUUCGGGUUGUAAAGCUCUUUAGUGGGGGAGAAAAGCCGCAAGGUGUGAUCUAUCCCAAAAAUAAGCACGGGCUAAGUUCGUGCCAGCCGCCGCAGUAA
rnacentral:rRNA from 1 species